ACGAACGCUGGCGGCAUGCCUCACACAUGCAAGUCGAACGAGACCUUCGGGUCUAGUGGCGCACGGGUGCGUAACGCGUGGGAAUCUGCCCUUGGGUUCGGAAUAACAGUUGGAAACGACUGCUAAUACCGGAUGAUGACGUAAGUCCAAAGAUUUAUCGCCCAGGGAUGAGCCCGCGUAGGAUUAGCUAGUUGGUGGGGUAAAGGCCUACCAAGGCGACGAUCCUUAGCUGGUCUGAGAGGAUGAUCAGCCACACUGGGACUGAGACACGGCCCAGACUCCUACGGGAGGCAGCAGUGGGGAAUAUUGGACAAUGGGCGAAAGCCUGAUCCAGCAAUGCCGCGUGAGUGAUGAAGGCCUUAGGGUUGUAAAGCUCUUUUACCCGGGAUGAUAAUGACAGUACCGGGAGAAUAAGCCCCGGCUAACUCCGUG
rnacentral:rRNA from 1 species